rnacentral:lncRNA from 1 species
AUGCAACGGUUGAUAGAUCGUUUUUUGAGGAGAUUAAGACUUGCACAUAUGGUCCUCUUCUUCCUGCUGAUUAGUUUAACGAACUCAUCUCUCAGCUUCUAAUCAGUGCAGAAUAAGUUGGUGAUCAUGGAUGUUUUGAGACUUUUGAAGUUGGGAAGUCUGGGGACAAAUAUAUAGCUUUUUCAAGUGCAUGUGUUGUAUAAAUAAGUUUGAGGUUAUAUAUGAACCUAUUUCGUUUUAAGAUUUCGGUUGUGUUGUAUGAAUGAAGUUUAGGUUAUGAACGUGUUUCGUUUUAAAACUUAAUGGGAAACUAGAAUAAACC